AAAGUAAAUAACCCUUACGGGUUAAAUGAAAUAUUUCAAAGCAACGGUGUUGCUUUGAAAUGUGAAAUAUCGGCCGAUGGAGCGGCCGAUGUGAAAUAUGCC
rnacentral:misc_RNA from 1 species